rnacentral:rRNA from 1 species
UACGGAGGGCUAGCGUUGUUCGGAAUCAUUGGGCGUAAAGGCGCGUAGGCGGCCGAUCAAGUCGGAGGUGAAAUCCCUCGGCUUAACCGGGGAACUGCGUCUGAUACUGGAUGGCUUGAGUUCGGGAGAGGGAUGCGGAAUUCCAGGUGUAGCGGUGAAAUGCGUAGAUAUCUGGAGGAACACCGGUGGCGAAGGCGGCAUCCUGGACCGAUACUGACGCUGAGGAGCGAAAGCCAGGGGAGCAAACGGG